UUCUAAACUAGCAGGGAUUAACUGCUGUUAACCGCUGAGCAGUCUCUCCGGCUCAGGGCCUGAGAUUCUUGCACACCUUUCAUGUAUGGAGCCGCACUACCCAGAGCUUACCUUCAGCUCUCUGCUGGAGUGUUUGCACCACGCUGCUGAUACAGUAAUGAGAGGACAGGAGGAUGAUGUGGCAUUUGGUGACCAGGCCUGAAUCUAGGAUCUUCCACUACCGCCCCUUUUCCAGUGAGCACUCAUCCUGGCUCCAAGCCAACCAUGUGCGAGAAAAACUUGAAAUUCAAAGCAUCUAGCCACUCGCGGCUUCAUGGUGGUGAGCCUUUCAGAAAAUGAGACGUCUCACAGCACUGUAACAGCUCUUUCAUGCCCCAUGGCCAAAUCCCAACCACUUUCCAGGCGUAACUUCUUGACGCUUUCUUGCAUUCCUCCUCCGUACUCUCUUCUUGUAGCAAGUUGCCGAAAGCUGUCUUUAUUCCAACAUGCCCCUAUGCUAUUUGAACCUCUCUAACCUGCUUCAUACAUCUCUUAGAUCUACAGAGCUUGGCACAGCCAUGCAUGUACAGCAUACAAGAAUGGAAUAUGUGAUUAAUAUAUCGGCGACAUGGUCAUAAGCUAAAGUCACCCGAGUAAGGAGCCAACUGAAGAGGAGUCCUGAUUGCCUUCAUGUGGGAAGACCGCCUCCCGGUGGGCGGUGCCUUCUGUGGGCUUGCUGGAAGGAGGGCGGUCUGCUUUGCCCACGUGGCUUGCUUCCUGCAUCAGAGUAGGUUCAGCCUGUUGUUGCUGCUGUGAUUCUUUGGCUGACGUUAGAACUAGUGUUGCCAGGCUUUAAUCUUGGACGUAAAGACCUGCAGCUCUCUAAGAACCUCACAGGUUCUCGGUGCCAGGUCGGGACGACUGAGGCACCUAGCCGUGAGGACUGAGCCUCUCAGAUCUGAGACAACUAUUGUUACUACUUUAACGAAAGAAGACGGCUCGGAUGAAUGUGCGGGAGGAAAUGCACCAGGAAAUCCCAAGCAGGGCGCAAUCAGUCACCAUUAAUGCUCGGAAGGAUGAAAGCUACUUGAAGAAAUACAGCCACUUAUGGACGGACGGUAAAAUUGAAUUCAUGAAGCAGUGCCUUCUCCAUGGGCGAUUUCUCGGAGCUGAAGCCCCAGAAUUGCACGCUGGCUGUGAGUGUCAGGCUUCCCCUCCACAGUUAGCACACUUUAAAGAACAGGUCUUGGAACUCAUAACCUUCUUGACUCAGCCUUCUAAGUGCCGAAAUUAGAGAUGUGUGCCACCAGUCCCAGAUAAAACGUCGUUCAAAAAAUUUUAAGCGGGUUGGAGAGAUGGUGGUUAAGAGCACUCACUGCUCUUCCAGAGGUCCUGAGUUCAAUUCCCAGCAACCACAUGGUGGCUCACAACCAUCCCUAAUGGAUUCUGAUGCCCUCUUCUGGUGUGUCUGAAGACAGCGACAGUGUACUCACAUAUAUAAAAUAAAAAUAAAUCUUUAAAAUAAAAAAUGUAAAUGCAAUUAAAUGAAAA